AUUUCAACCAGCUACCUCCGUGUUCCCCACAAGCCCACUCUGCUGGCGAGAUUCUACAGGUCGGUCAACACCAUGUGUACGGCUGACUUCAGAGUUUAUUUUAUAGUUUGGCAAUUCGCUCAACUGUUGUUUUCACACCUGAUCAUCAACAAACUCCAUGCAAGGGAAAUCAACUGGAGACAAUUGUCUUUCUCAGAGCUCAAUAAAGAAGGUAGGAGACACUUGGGGUCUGUAACAGGUUUCUCUGUAUAGCUCUGGCUGUCCUGGAACUCACUCUGUAGACCAGGCUGGCCUCGAACUCACAGAAAUCCACUUGCCUUUGCCUCCCAAGUGCUGGGAUCAAAGGUGUGUACCACCACUGCCCGGCUCAAAAUAGUAGUACCUUUUAAAAUCUUUAGUUCUUCUAAGGACACAGAUUUUAUUUUUUCCUUAGUU
rnacentral:lncRNA from 1 species